rnacentral:lncRNA from 1 species
UGACAGACUGUUCAGUCUUUAAUAAUGUGAGAAUAAACAGAAUAAAUUAAAAGCACACCAUAUUCUUCUCAGCUUCCUCAGGGGCUUUGUCCAAACAGCUUGAACAACUGCAAAAUAAUAUUCAGGAACCAUGAUAGUGUUUGGUACAUAGAGGACACUGGAAAUGGUUUUCUUAACUGAACAAGUGACUAGAAUAAAGGAAUUAAUGAACGACAUCAGAGCUGAAAUCCCAAACCAUAAAUCAUAAAAGGAUCAGACAGCAAAGAGUACUCAAAAGCUGAUUUAUUGAGAUCCUGAUGAGUUUGAAGUAACUAGAAACUUGAUCAAGACCCUGACUAAUAUAAGAUGAUUUUUUAAAACUGGAAUCUCAGUGGAUUCGUCUCAACACGGCCAGAUGGAUGAUUCUUCCAGGGACUAAUGAACUUGUUAGAAUUUCGGAUAACAUUUGGUUGUCAAAAAAAAAAAAAGAGCAUAAAAAGUAAUAGACCAUAACUGAGAUGGGUGGGGCUUAUUCUAGAUAAGAUAGUCAAGGACUGACAUAUGGGA